rnacentral:rRNA from 1 species
GACGAACCGUGCGAACGUUGUUCGGAAUCACUGGGCUUAAAGGGUGCGUAGGCGGCGCGGUAAGUCGGGUGUGAAAUCUCGGAGCUUAACUCCGAAACUGCAUUCGAUACUACCGUGCUUGAGGACUGGAGAGGAGACUGGAAUUUACGGUGUAGCGGUGAAAUGCGUAGAUAUCGUAAGGAAGACCAGUGGCGAAGGCGGGUCUCUGGACAGUUCCUGACGCUGAGGCACGAAGGUCAGGGGAGCAAACGGG